rnacentral:rRNA from 1 species
GAUGAACGUUGGCGGCGUGCCUAACACAUGCAAGUCGAACGCUAGUAGCAAUAUUAGAGUGGCGCACGGGUGAGUAACACGUAGCUUAUCUACCUCCCAGCGCGGGAUAACGGUUCGAAAGAACUGCUAAUACCGCAUAAGCUCACGAGCUAUAGAGGCUGGUGAGAAAAGGCUUAGGUCACUGGGAGCGGGGGCUGCGGCCCAUCAGCUAGUUGGUGAGGUAACGGCUUACCAAGGCGACGACGGGUAGGGGACCUGAGAGGGU